GACGAACGCUGGCGGCGUGCUUAACACAUGCAAGUCGAACGGAAAGGCCCUGCUUGCAGGGUGCCCGAGUGGCGAACGGGUGAGUAACACGUGGGUGAUCUGCCCCUUAUUUUGGGAUAAGCCUGGGAAACUGGGUCUAAUACUGGAUAGGACCAUGCUGUAGGAGGUGUGGUGGAAAGAUUAGUUUCGGUAAGGGAUGAGCUCGCGGCCUAUCAGCUUGUUGGUGGGGUAAUGGCCUACCAAGGCGUCGACGGGUAGCCGGCCUGAGAGGGUGGACGGCCACAUUGGGACUGAGAUACGGCCCAGACUCCUACGGGAGGCAGCAGUGGGGAAUAUUGCACAAUGGGCGCAAGCCUGAUGCAGCGACGCCGCGUGGGGGAUGACGGCCUUCGGGUUGUAAACUCCUUUCAGCCAUGACGAAGCCCUUGUGGUGACGGUAGUGGUAGAAGAAGCACCGGCUAACUACGUG
rnacentral:rRNA from 1 species